AUUUUCGCGUGGCUGUGGUCACGUGUGGAGCGCUUGGUCAAAAUCCCUAAAACAGGGUCCGGUCUUCCCCCAUCGGUCUGCUCCUCCCACUCCCACGACCAGCGCCGCCGCUUGCCCCCGUGUCCGCCGUCCAGUUCUGAUCCGCCGACUCCCUCUCCAUCGAGCGCCGCCCACAUCGCCGUUGAGCACCGACUCCACGCCUCCAGCACAGCCUCCCUCCCCAUCUAGCGCGGCCCCCAUCGCCGGCGACUUCCAGAUCCGCCUCCCUGGCCGGCGAACUUCCAGAUCUGCGUCCCUGGCCGGCGAACUUCCAGAUCCACCUCCGUCGCCGUGUGGAGGUGGCUCCCUCCCCGACCAGUCUUACAAAAUCAGGAAGUUGUAGCGCUACAAAGGCCAAGUUUGAGAAGUGACAUUGCCACACCUCAACCCUCUCGAUCAAGAAGUCCAAUCCAGGCAUGUUGAAGAACCCACCACAAAGCAUCUUCAAGACGCACAUCCAGUAUAUUGGAAGGAACGUCAUCUCGAUCUUCAAAGUGAAUUGAUCCUUCCAAGCCCAAGAGGAUGCCGGUACUCCGCUGGCAGAUCCUUCCCAUGCUGAAGGCCAUGUUCAUGCUACUCAUCUGGAUGAGCAUGGUUCUACCCCAAGACAGGAUAUAUACCAUUUGUUGCACUACAGUUGGUAUAUAGCAAGAUGGAUAAGAAAUACCCAAGAGCUUCUUCCUUUUCAAGAUUAGAAGAUGAAUGAUAGUGAUACGCUUCUGAGAAGAAAUCGUUCCAGGUACUGGGCGUAGUGGUGAUGGAGACAUAGACUUGUAAGACCCUUGGGUGGGCGAACGCCCUUGAGCACCUCCACUUGAACUUCUGGUGAAUGGAACAUUCCAAGCCCAAGGGAAUGCACUCCAUUAACAGAAUCUUCCCAUGAUGGAAGACCAUCCUCAUGCUACUCAUGUGGAUGAGCAUAGUUCUACUCCAACAUUUAGAAAUUCCAGUAGUAUAAUUAGUUGUUAAUAUUGUGAAAUAGGGUGCAGGUAGGCUUUCUUUGUCAAUUGCUUCUCUUGGCAAUUUAGGAAUCAACCAGUAUGCGUGUUUCGUAUUUGGUGACACCUCCUGUUAAGUUAAGGCUCCAUGAAUCAUGACUUGGAUAUGAAUAUGUAGAUCUUGUGAAUAACGAGAUUUAAAUAAAUUGGAUGGGUACAUUGUGACCUAGGAAUUGGAUGUGAUUUUAAACCGGGUUAUAUGAUCUUUGUGUAUACAUGAAUGUGAAAUGAUUUGGCAUGUGGCUAUGAAUAUAUAC
rnacentral:rRNA from 1 species